rnacentral:rRNA from 1 species
UACGUAGGGAGCAAGCGUUUGUUCGGAUUUACUGGGCGUAAAGGGCGCGUAGGCGGUCCUUCAAGUCAGGCGUGAAAGCCCCGGGCUCAACCUGGGAACCGCGCUUGAGACUGGCGGACUCGAGUUCGGGAGAGGAUGGUGGAAUUCCCAGUGUAGAGGUGAAAUUCGUAGAUAUUGGGAAGAACACCAGUGGCGAAGGCGGCUCGCUGGGACGUUACUGACGCUGAGACGCGAAAGCGUGGGGAGCAAACAGG